CUCCCCUCAUUGGCUCGCCGUCCCGCUGACGUCACCGCCCACGCGUCAUGGGUGGCGACGGACCUAGGGAGCGCGCCUGCGCAUGCGCGGCCCGGCGGCUAGCAUCUUUGCCCAUGUGAGUCAUGGGGCCAUUCGGCCCAUUGAGUCUCCUCAGCAGAACUUUUUUUAUCAAUGCCACAUUUGCAAAAUGCAAACACGCAAUGAAAUAUACUCAUCAGUCAUAGGAGCAGAAUUAGGCCGUUCAGCCCAAAGAUCCUAUAGUAUAGGAUCUUUGGUUCAGCCCAUCAAGUCUGCUCCGCCCACCUUUCAAUCAUGGCUGAUCUUUCUCUCCCUCCUAACCCCGUUCUCCUGCCUUCUCCCCACAACCACCGACACCCGUACUAAUCAAGAAUCUAUCUAGCUCUGCCUUAAAUAUAUCCACUGACUUGGCCUCCACAGCCUUCUGUGGCAACGAAUUCCACAGAUUCACCACCCUCUGACUAAAGAAAUUUCUCCUCAUCUCCCUUCUAAAGACUGGGGACUUUGGACUUCCUACAAGAUAUGAGUGCAAGGGUGCAAACGUGCCAGGAUCUCGACCCGAAAUGUCACGCAUUCCUUCUCUCCAGAGAUGCUGCCUGUCCCGCUGAGCUGCUCCAGCAUUUUGUGUCUACUAAAGAUGGCAUGCUUGCUGAAAUUCUCAAACUUGGCAGAAAGUGAUUUCUGGGAUAACUUUACCACCUCCUGGAUGAGGAUGACAACAGGAAAAUAGUCAAUGAAAUCGUCUUCAAGAGCCAAAUCCAAUUGGGCCAACUACAAUACGAUGUCUGUUCCCGGCUAUGCCAGAGAGCUAUAACAUAAUUGUGGGAUAGAUCUUGUCCAUCAGACAUAAUGUCAUUGGAUCUUCAUUGUGUGCCAGCACUCAAUUUCCAUUUCAAGCUUAUUUCCAUCUGAAGGGUUCAGGACAAAUCCCCUGUAGGUUUGUAUGGGCAAGCUGAGCAGUCUCUGGGCAGGAGGUGGAGCUUUAAGUUGUUAAUGAAGUCCUGCAGUCAUUAAUUACAGGGCCUCCAUGACCCCAUCAUUAGUGGAUUAUUCAGUUGACCUACAAUGACUGCACAUAUCUUGCCUUGCUCUGUUGAAAGUGAAGUCAAUCUUUUGCCUGAUUUUGAAUGACCUUACACAAAAGAUGCUUCCUUAUAUUUACAGCUAUCUGCUCCAUUAAUCAACAAGCACAAAAGGCACAAAUAAGCGUACUAAUAAAGCAUGAAGUAUGACAUUAGGCCCCUCAAACCCUCCCCGCUAUUAAAGAUCAUAAGAUGGUCUUGACGCUGGGUUUCGACCCCAAAUAUCAACAGUUGCUUCCCCCUCUACAGCUGCUGCUCAACCUACUGAUUUUUUCCAGUGGAUUAUUUGUUGCUCUACAUUGUAACACCUGUAGUCUCUUGUGUCUUCUUUACAAAGAUCGUGGCUGGUUUGUUUAUCGUCCACAUAUUGUCACCUAUCCAUGAUAAUCUUUCACUCCCUUGCUUAUCAUGUGAUAACUUCUGCCUUAAAAAAUAUUCACAAGGCCCUGCCUUUGAAAAGGUUCCACUCUCAACACUCUUGUAGAAUAAAAACCUCAACUCUGCGUAAAAUAGUCAAGCACUUAUUUUUAGACAAUGGUCCGUGGUUCAAUUAUCUCCCACAAGAGGCACCAACCUCUCAAUAUCCACACAUGAUCCCUCUGGAUCUUAUGUUUCAACUCUCACUCUUCGAAACUCCAGCAGAUUCAUCUCAAUCUUGUCUAAAGGGCCUGUCCCACUUGGGCGUCAUUUGCGCGUCAUGCAGGUGGCGCGUGAGGAUUUUGAGCAUCCCAAAAUCCUGGGACGCCGCACGCUACUGCAUUAGCCACCACGCCUCAACACACACCUUCCGCGUGUCAUGAUGCGCCAACCAAUUUUUAGGAUGUCGCGUAAAUGACGCACAAAUUACGCCCAAAUGGGACAGGCCCUUUACCUCUCUUCACAAUACAACUCUCCCAUUACAUCCCAUUUACACCUCAGCGGUAUGAACAUUGACUUCUCUAACUUCAAGUAGCCCUUGCUUUCCCUGUCUCUUCAUCGCCCCCCCCCCCUUCCCAGUUCUCCUACUAGUCUUACUGCCUCAUUUAAUCUCUGUACCGCUCACUCCCCUGACAUCAGUCUGUGGAAAGGUCUCAAUCUCAACCCGAAACGUCACCUAUUCCUUCUCUCCAGAGAUGCUGCCUGUCCCGCUGAGUUACUCCAGUAUUUUGUGCCUGCCUACCUCCCAUUACAGAACUUGAUUUCACUUCAGACAUUUGAUUGCAAAACACUGCUUAUUUCAGGAAGAUGAAUUUUAAAUGAAAACCAGGUUCAAGAGCAGCUACUUCCCAACAACUGUCAGGCUCUUGAACACUAACCACAGCAACAAUGUGUUGUUUUGUUUACAGACGUGUUACUCUGCAGCAAGUAAGAAUCUCAAUGUUCCGCUGUUGAUACAUACUAUUUAAGUCUCGCUCUCUCUCUCUAUCCCUCACUUAUCAUUUGUACCAUUCUAGACUGAGUACUUUUGACUUCCUGGCAUAAGAAAUGCUUGUUCACCUGAUAUUUUCCCCGUUUCCAUAAAACCAGACAACAAAAGAUUUAAUUUCCCACUCCAGGUGUUGGUCUUGCAAAGCUAUGAACUAAUGCAGAAUCUGGGUCGGAAGAAGGGUUUCGACCCGAAACGUUACCAAUUCCUUCUCUCCAGAGCCGCUGAGUUACUCCAGCAUUUUGUGUCGACCUGUGAACUUCUGAUGCAGUACCAUACUUUAAAUGAAAGAGGCCGACAAUGUAUGCAGUACUUUUGAUGAGAUUUCAGCAGUGCCCAAUAUAACUAAAGAUAGAGAAAUCAAGGAAAAGAAUUAGAAACAUAGAAACAUAGAAAUUAGGUGCAGGAGUAGGCCAUUCGGCCCAUUCAAUAUGAUCAUGGCUGAUCAUCCAACUCAGUACCCCGUACCUGCCUUCUCUCCAUACCCUCUGAUCCCCUUGGCCACAAGGGCCACAUCUAACUCCCUCUUAAAUAUAGCCAAUGAACUGGCCUCAACUACCCUCUGUGGCAGAGAGUUCAGGAUUCUCAGGAUUUAGGUUAUAAAAGUCUUCUGCCAAUGAUGAAAGAGUUGGGGGAAGGGAGAUAAUUAAUUGGGACAAUUUCAGUGUUGCGGUAAUUGUCUACUAAUCAUGUUUGCUUACUUACAAAGGUUGUUUGACAAUGAUUGCUAUACAUUGUGCAAUAAUGUUUUGGGGCCAAAACUGAAAUUUUUUUGGACCAAUCAACAUUUUUUUUUUAAUCUUUCAAAAACCUAGCAAAGUUAAUAAUGAACAAGUUGCAUAUACAAUAUAACAUUUAUUCUGAUUAUACAACCUCAAAAUAUACAGUUUUACAAUUGACUUCUACAGUUUGAUGAAAAAUAACUGACCUUUUAGAGCAGAUUUAAAGUAAAGGUGUGAAUACGUAUGUACUAUGAGUACUUUCAAUACUGCCCAUUAAAUAGACAACAUAAAAAAUGAGAGCAAUGUCAGAACACUUGCUGACUCAUUCAAAACCUGGUAUUCUUGGUUACUAAGGUUAGAAAUGGCAAAAAAACAAGUGAAAGGAUUCAAUGCUGUUAUUUGAAUACUACAUCACAUCAUCUAUUUGCAAUAAUAAAAGAAAGCCUUUAAACUAUUUAGGCCGGCUUACGAUGCAAUGUUCAAAUAUUCAAAAAUAA